rnacentral:tRNA from 1 species
GGACCCGUGGUGGAGAUGGUUACCAUGCCGGCCUGUCACGCCGGAGGUCGCGAGUUCGAUCCUCGUCGGGUCCGCCA